ensembl:lncRNA
CCGAGGUCUCUGCUGAAGUGCAAAAGAGGGACACAGUUCGAUCCUGUGUGCACUGUUUAAAACGAAAUAAAAACAACUUCGAAAACAAUCGCAGACCAGUGGAAGAGACAAAGAGAUUACCCAGGAUCCCUUAGCUGUGCAGGUCUGGAGCCAGACCCCUGGUGUCAUUCACAACUGUUUCCACUACAGACUGGACUGGACCCCACAGAAAGCAGACUUGUGUCUCCAGGUGUGGCGCUACCUCGGCUCCUCUCCUCCUAGUGAUGUUAAGCGGAUCCCUGCUUCCUGCUCUUAUCCUGGUUGGGCCACAUUUUUGUUGGGUACUGUGACCAGAAUGGGACACCUCGCCCAUGCAGGCUGAAUG